rnacentral:rRNA from 1 species
AUGGGCAAGUUUGUGAGGCAAUGUGACAUGGAGGUCAUGAAGAUGGCCAUGCUCAAGCAUGAGGAGACCUUCAGGCAACAGGUUCACGAGCUGCACCGCCUGUACCGCAUCCAGACACAGCUCAUGGGGGCCGACCUCAGCACCCGCCGGCAGCCGCGGCGGCGCGGCAACAAGCAGCCACGCCGGGCGCUCAACCUGCAGCUCCCCGCCGACGAGUACAUCGUUGGCGCCGCCGACGAGGACGACGACGGCUGCGGCACCGGGGCUGAGCUGGAACUGACGCUCGCCGUGGGAGGGAGGAGGACCGGCUCCGGCACCGCCCGCAAGAACAACGUUAGCAAGAGAGGACAGGCCAAACACGACGGCGCCGGCGGCUUCUCCUCCCCCUUCGCUUCCGACUGCUCCGGGGGCACGAGCCUUUCGUCGUCGCCGCCGUCGUCGGCCGAGUACUCGGAGAGCGCCUUCGGGGUUGCGCUCCACGGCGGUUACCCGGGGGUGGCGGCACCGCCGCCGUGCCAGAGAGCCAUGACGUUCGACCUCGGCGUGGCGGAGGCGAUGAAGCAGCACCAGUCGCCCUGGCAGCUGGUGCAGUGCCAGUACCUCAGCCUCAGGAUGACAUGA